rnacentral:rRNA from 1 species
GAACGAUGAUAGCUUGCUAUCAGGCGUCGAGCGGCGGACGGGUGAGUAAUACUUAGGAAUCUACCUAGUAGUGGGGGAUAGCUCGGGGAAACUCGAAUUAAUACCGCAUACGACCUACGGGAGAAAGGGGGCAACUUGUUGCUCUCGCUAUUAGAUGAGCCUAAGUCGGAUUAGCUAGAUGGUGGGGUAAAGGCCUACCAUGGCGACGAUCUGUAGCUGGUCUGAGAGGAUGAUCAGCCACACCGGGACUGAGACACGGCCCGGACUCCUACGGGAGGCAGCAGUGGGGAAUAUUGGACAAUGGGGGCAACCCUGAUCCAGCCAUGCCGCGUGUGUGAAGAAGGCCUUUUGGUUGUAAAGCACUUUAAGCAGUGAAGAAGACUCCAUGGUUAAUACCCAUGGACGAUGACAUUAGCUGCAGAAUAAGCACCGGCUAACUCUGUGCCAGCAGCCGCGGUAAUACAGAGGGUGCAAGCGUUAAUCGGAAUUACUGGGCGUAAAGCGAGCGUAGGUGGCUUGAUAAGUCAGAUGUGAAAUCCCCGGGCUUAACCUGGGAACUGCAUCUGAUACUGUUAGGCUAGAAUAGGUGAGAGGAAGGUAGAAUUCCAGGUGUAGC